UACGAAGGGGGCUAGCGUUGCUCGGAAUCACUGGGCGUAAAGCGCACGUAGGCGGCUUCUUAAGUCAGGGGUGAAAUCCUGGAGCUCAACUCCAGAACUGCCUCUGAUACUGAGGAGCUCGAGUCCGGGAGAGGUGAGUGGAACUCCGAGUGUAGAGGUGAAAUUCGUAGAUAUUCGGAAGAACACCAGUGGCGAAGGCGGCUCACUGGCCCGGUACUGACGCUGAGGUGCGAAAGCGUGGGGAGCAACAGGG
rnacentral:rRNA from 1 species